AUUAUUGGAAAAUUUCCAUGCCAUGUGAUUUUGGCUGAAUUUCUAUGUACAAUCACCGAUUAUUACCUAUAAUAGGACUUGUUCAAUCAGCUAAAAUAUGUGUUUUUAUUGUGUUUUGAUGUCUAAUUCCAUGAUGUAGCUAAUGGACGUGAUUAGUGAUGCAGGAUAAAUUUUUUAUGGAAUUGGAAGAAAGUGGAUGCAUGAUACAAAACAAAAGACAAAUGAGGCGGGGGAUUUGAGUAGAUUGAAUUGAAAGGGCAUUUUCAAUAAAGUUGGGAAGCAUGCAGCGAAAGGGGAAUCAAGAGGACAAACUACCAGCUAAAAGGAUUCUUUGCCUUAGCCAAUGUUUUGGACUACAAUUCCAGUGAGGGGUCGUGAUAGUCCUGCGAUGCGAUCCCGUUUAAGUCAAUUACCUAUCGCGUCGCGAACCACAGAUUUUUGCCUUAGCCAAAUUUUUGGCUGAUAAUUCCAGUGAGGGAUCGUGAUAGCCCCACAAUGCGACCCCUGACAUUUUCUAGGCAAAUUGUCCCAGUUAUAAAAGAAACACUUCAACACAAUUGAAAACACUUUUGGAAAGCAUAGCAGUGGCGGAAAAGUAGAGAAUUCUCUUUUAGGGUUCUUAUUAUUUCUUUUGAACUUCUUUACCUCAAGACUAGUUUUUGGGUAUGAUUAAUUACUUGUUUUUGACAUUUGAUUCAAACAUAAGUGGCUAAAUACCCUUGUUCUGGGAUUGAGGCCAAGAACAUGAUUACUCUUUGAUAUUCUUUAUAGUAGUUUUUUCUUGGAUUAUCACCUGGGUUGUUCUUAAUUUCUUGAGCUUACUAUUUUAAUACUUGGACGCCAUUAGAAUAAAUUUAUAUUUGUAUGUGAAUCCAGGAGGAGAAUCGUAGAUUAGAACGAGGAAAUAAAGGAGCAAGGUUCUUUCCAUUUUAUAAAAUAAGGGGUUUGAACUAGCAUCUAGGAUAGGGAUAUACCUAGAACCCUUCUUUGGUUUAAUUGCAAGAAGAGUACUUAAUAAAUAUAGAAGAAUUGUUGUAUCUCUGUGGGAGUUGUAGCUGCAAUAUUCAAUAAAUAGAAGAUUUGAGGUCGGGAGACAAAAAUCAUUGCUUAAACCUUGCGAACCAACAACCCAAUAACAAAUUAGACUACUAUAAGAAUGGAGAUUUAUAUGAUUGUUCAGAAAGCCUCAACCCUGUAAUUCUUAUCAUUAUUGUUUACAACCGUUGCUUUCCUUGCUUUAGUCAUAAACUUUUAUUUCUAGUUAAUUAAUUUGUAUUUGGAUUCUCAAGUUCAAAAUCAUCUUGAUACUUUAAAACACUUAAUACUCAUUGUCUAAGACUAAAAUUUGGUUAAAUUUCUAGUUGGUUAGUCCUCGUGGGAAUGAUAUUUGAUUGUCUAAAUUACUAUAUUACUUGUAUGAUCACGUGCACUUGCGUGUGCUUCUGAGUUGCAACACUAUGUGUGGUGAGAUCAUUUGUCCAAAUAUCAUGUGUUCUCAUACCAUCUAGAACUUGCCCUAUUAAUCUCUUAAGGCUAAUUUUGAUUGAACUUGGUUGGUGAGAUGAUCUUAGGCUAUCUUUGUGAAUUUGGGAGUCCACUUAAGCCUAAAAAGCCUACUUUUGCGUAGAAGUCAUCCCUAAUCACCUACUUUGAGCCUUUAGACCUUUCUAUGGAAAACGCAUUGCACGCCAUGAACCUUUCAAUUCUUAUCCCUCUUUUUAACCCUACCCUCCUUGGACUUAAAAUUGUAACUUGAGGCUAAAAGCCUAAGGUGGGGUGGUGAUGAUUGGAAGAGGUAACUUUGGGCUACGAAGUUGUAAGUGAGUGCCUGUGGGCUUGAGCAUUGAGAAAAAAUAAAUAAGACAAAGAAAGGAUCCAACAAAGGAAAGUGUGGCACAAAGGGUGCAAAAAAUAGAAAAAAAUGGUUGGACCAAGAAAAUAAAAGUAGGCGCAUGUGUAAAAAGUGAAAACAAAAAGAAAUGGCCAAUGAUCAAAAGUUAAAUAGAAUAGUGUGAUGUAGAUGUUCAAGAAAUCUAUAGGCUUGUUGUUCAAAAAUAAUAUCCUACCCUACCCCAAACCUACGUGACAAGCUUAAAAAUCCCUUCGUGAUUUCAAACCAAGUAUUUUCAUUGUAGUGGCGACUAAAAAUAGGAGCAAGCCUAUAGCAUGGUACUUAUUAGCAUCAAGAGUUCUUGAGAGAGAGAGUGUUUUACACUUAAAUUCCUUGUUGCAUAUUUGAUGACUUGGUGUGUUGAAUUUUCUUUCUUGUAAGGAGGCAUGUAAACAAGUCGAGGUGGGUGAUUUUUUCAUCUCCCGCAAAAUAAGUCAAAAGGAGUAUAAUACAGGUGAGGUCAAAGGUGAGUCAUUUCUAGAGUAUUAGUGAUUGUUGCAUGGUUUCUCUUUAAAGUCUCUUGCAUCCUUUAAAAAUCAUAAUUUAUGUUAAGGAGUGUCAUAAAAGUAAUUUUUCCCAUGUUUGAAGAGCUAAAUUGUGGUAUUAACUAAGCUUUAAGUAUUAUGAUUAUGGGGUUAUUUAAUUUGGGCAUAUUGUGCAUAGUCUCAUAGUAAAAAGUAGUGUUGCUUGAGGAUAAGCUAAACUAUAUGUGGUGGGCAUUGAUGAGUGGUGAAUUUACUUCUCACAUGUACUUAACAUUCGUGCACACUACUAUGAUUUGAAGGUAUAAAUGAGAAAACAUUGUGAUUAAAUGCACUAAUUUUCACAUUUUGCUGGUAUACAGGCGAUGAGAUAGAAGGAUAUGGAAUUGAGCUAAAAUGAACAAAGAGGAAAAGAAAAGUGCACAACUAAAGGACCAUAUACAGAACAAGGCUUAGUCACUGCGAUCGCGGUCUAAGGGACGUGAUCGCAGGAAGUCAAGACGGUCAGCAACUGUGAUCGCAUAGAUAUACUCGUGGUCGCGGUAGUUGCAAUCGUGGUAGAUCUGGUAUGAUCGCGGCCAUGCAGGAUUAGGCCCAAGGCUAGUUUUAAAUUUUU
rnacentral:lncRNA from 1 species